UUGGGAAAAUUAUUUUUGCAACUUCAAGAAAGGGAUGUCACCACUUUCUUGGUUAACAAUUGAAUCUAAUGCAAUUGUUAACAAUUAAAUUUCAUUGUAUAAUGAGAUAAAAAUAUAUAAAUAUAUUAACAUAAAAAUAACUACAAAUCUCUUCUUUCCAUCAGUCUUCCUCACUGGUCCAAAGAGAACAUAAUUAUCAAUCUACCUGACCAAUCCAACAUUUCUAUUCCCAUCUCAUCCCCCUUUAAGAACUGUCUAAACUUUUAUGAUGUAUAGUAGACAGAAAAAGCAUAGAAUUUAGAAGAAAGAACAAAUGACCUCAUAAGAAGAGACACAAUCUACAUAAUAAAUAUGUGAAGGAGAGAGUAAAAUCUAACAGACUGGGGCAGAGAAGUUUUGUUUCAGGGAUAAAAACAUAAGCCUGAAUGGCAUCAUCUAAUAUCCAUGGAAACCAUGAAAGUGAUCUGAGAACUGAAAGAACAAACUGUACAACUAGAGGAAGGAAAGAGGUCACAUUGUGGAAGGUGGAGCCUGGUGGAUGUAGUGGUGCUGUCGUGGAGGAGGGCAGAGACCCAGAAGCAGCAGUAUGCUCUGAGUAUCCCCUGAGUCACAUUAGAAGAGACAGAAGAGAAGGUGGGCCUCUUAAGCUGUCC